GCCUGGGUGGUUCAGUCGGUUGAGCGUCUGACUUGGGUUCAGGUCAUGAUCUCACGGUUUGUGAGUUCGAGCCCCACCUCGGGCU
rnacentral:tRNA from 1 species